GGCGGUCAACACUGGGGGUAGACAAGAAGCAGAUGUACUUCCAAGAGGGAGCUGCAGUGAGGUCAGAGGAGGCGCUGGAAGGUUUCCCUAAUAGUUCCUGGUGAAUCAAAGCAGAACCAUAAAGGUUGCUGGACUGCAUGAUGGCCUUACCCCUGAGCAGUCAUCCUGUUAAAGGAGGAACCAGUUAGAAGCUGUUUUCAAAGUAGCUGAGCAGAUUUCAUCUCAACAGACAAAGCCGAUGGCAGAA